GAGGUGUGAUUAGGAGUGAAAAGCUAAUCGAACCCGGAGAUAGCUGGUUCUCCUCGAAAGCUAUUUAGGUAGCGCCUCAUAUGUAUCCUCUCGGGGGUAGAGCACUGUUAUGGCUAGGGGGUCAUCGCGACUUACCAAACCAUUGCAAACUCCGAAUACCGAGACGGACUGUAUGGGAGACACACGGCGGGUGCUAACGUCCGUCGUGAAAAGGGAAACAACCCAGACCCACAGCUAAGGUCCCAAAUUUUGUGCUAAGUGGAAAACCAUGUGGAAAGGCACAGACAGCCAGGAGGUUGGCUUAGAAGCAGCCACCCUUUAAAGAAAGCGUAAUAGCUCACUGGUCGAGUCGGUCUGCGGGGAAGAUUUAACGGGGCUAAGCACAGAACCGAAGCUUGGGGUGCAUAACUUUGUUAUGCGCGGUAGAGGAGCGUUCCGUAAGCCGUUGAAGGUGGAUUGAGAAGUCUGCUGGAGGUAUCGGAAGUGCGAAUGCUGACAUGAGUAACGAUAAUGCGGGUGAAAAACCCGCACGCCGAAAGCCCAAGGUUUCCUUGCGCAACGUUAAUCGGCGCAGGGUGAGUCGGCCCCUAAGGCGAGGACGAAAGUCGUAGUCGAUGGGAAGCAGGUUAAUAUUCCUGCACCUCGCGUAAGUGCGAUGGAGGGACGGAGAAGGUUAGGUGUACCAGGCGUUGGUUGUCCUGGGGAAAGGCGGUAGGUUUGGAUCUUUGGCAAAUCCGGGAUCCUCUAAGACCGAGCACCGAGACGAGCCUUUAUGGCAAAGUCACUGAUACCACGCUUCCAGGAAAAGCUCCUAAGCUUCAGCUUACGCAGACCGUACCGUAAACCGACACAGGUGGGUAGGAUGAGAAUUCU
rnacentral:rRNA from 1 species